GACAUCUUUUGUUGUACGGAGAGAGUACUUAUUUUUGCCUCAGUCCAGAGAAGAUGACCGUGAGGUGGCUCAUCAGCUGGCUGCUUUAACGAAAUCUACUCCCGGCAUUGUGCCUCUCAUACUGAAGGAUGUAACUCUAAAUCGUCAAUCAAUAAAAGGGUAUUAUGCUGUCAAAAAAAAAAAAAGAUGACCGUGAGCCAAACAAGGCUAGAGGGGUUUUGAUGAUUUGUCUAUUAGUUUCUUGGCAAGUUCAGGAUUUUAUCUGGACCCGGUCAAUUAUCUUUUACCUUUAUAUUGGAGAUUUAGGCAUGCAUAGAAC
rnacentral:lncRNA from 1 species